rnacentral:tRNA from 1 species
GGUGCUAUCGUAUAACGGUUAAUACACCCACCCUUCACGUGGGGAACGCAAGUUCGAUUCUUGUUAGCGCUGCAA